rnacentral:sRNA from 1 species
AUGAAUAAGGGCUGGCUGGAGCUGGAGAGCGACCCAGGCCUCUUCACCCUGCUCGUGGAAGAUUUCGGUGUCAAAGGGGUGCAAGUGGAGGAGAUCUACGACCUUCAGAGCAAAUGUCAGGGCCCUGUAUAUGGAUUUAUCUUCCUGUUCAAAUGGAUCGAAGAGCGCCGGUCCCGGCGAAAGGUCUCUACCUUGGUGGAUGAUACGUCCGUGAUUGAUGAUGAUAUUGUGAAUAACAUGUUCUUUGCCCACCAGCUGAUACCCAACUCUUGUGCCACUCAUGCCUUGCUGAGCGUGCUCCUGAACUGCAGCAACGUGGACCUGGGACCCACCCUGAGUCGCAUGAAGGACUUCACCAAGGGCUUCAGCCCUGAGAGCAAAGGAUAUGCGAUUGGCAAUGCCCCGGAGUUGGCCAAGGCACAUAAUAGCCAUGCCAGGGCCCUGGGGGGAGGACGAGGAGUGGACAGACAAGGCCCGGCGGGUCAUCAUGGAGCGUAUUGGCCUCGCCACUGCAGGGUAAGGGCCCUGUGCCUGCCCUGUUCUACCCUCUGGAGCUGUACCUACUUUGGGAGGGACAGAGAGUAUCCAGGUGAUUUGUAAAUUGCAAGGCCAUAUGGUGAAUCUGGCAAGAUCAGGCUUAGAUCAUGGGCUCUCAACUUGUUGUCUUAUUUCCUGCCUGGGCUGCCUGUGGCCUGCUCC